ensembl:lncRNA
AACCCUAACAUGCUCAAAAAAGGAUAUUCUCUUUCAGCAUUGCAAAAUAGGAAGAAUGCAAACCUCUUCGGUUUUAUGUAGCUAAAAGGAGAAGAGUUUCCCUGUGACUUGGAGAGAAGACUGCCAUAUCAAUGUCUGCCUAGCAACUGAAAGGUGACACGUGGAGCCUCCUUUUCAACUCAUUUCCUCUUGAUGAGAGGAAGGGAUCCUCCUGCGAGUUAUUACCUGAAAUAAUACCAUAUGAUUAUUGCGAUAAGGAAACUCUUGUGUCACGACCCACUGGCGUCUGGCUAAUCCGAUGGUAUUCGUCGCUGCAUUGUCCGUGAUCAAUAACUAAUUAUCAAAGUGGCAUUUCUUUUCAAGAGCUCCUUGUUAAAAAAUGGCUUUUGGCUGAGACUGGAGGAAAAAGGUCGCCACUUUGACAUCGUUGCAAGUCUUUCAAAAUCCAGUGGGCCGUCCAAUUGAAUUACUGUCCCAAACUAAUUGAUAUAAAUUUGAACAGAAGAAUGCUUGUUACUACAGAAUGUCAUAAUGAUAUCCUUGGCAAGAGCAUGUCAGUGGGAAAAAAGAGAAAAGACCAGCACUAGUCACAAAGCAUCUAGACAAGUUGCAGCAGAAGACUGUUAACAAAUCUCAGAGGAGUAAACUUGUAUACCAGUUCCUUCUUCACAAUAAGUUUGGUCAGACACUCAAGAAAGAAAAGCAUUAACAUUUGCUUUUGUACCUCAUAUGUUUUAAAUCAGACUUUAGAAAACCUGCUGGAAAAACAAUAAUUGCAGCAUACCAAGGACUGAAAACUUGAUGAACAGUUGCGGAAGUCUCAUUGACUCUACUGGGAUCAUGAACCUAACUACCUUCCCCUCUGUGUCAUACACUCUGUCCCUGAGCUGGGAAUUGCAAAGGAGGAGCACGGGCAAAGGUCACACCACAAAGGGCCAGAAAAUCAAAGCUUAA